rnacentral:tRNA from 1 species
CGGGAUGUAGCGCAGUUCGGUAGCGCAUCGGUUUUGGGAACCGGGGGCCGCAGGUUCGAAUCCUGCCAUCCCG